UGCUGCCCACUGCCUGGAGGAAGGACGCCUGCCCCCCGCCUAGGAAGGAGGAACCGAGGAGUUGGCUCAGAGUUAAAGACACUUGCAUGAAGCAUGGAGCAUGGGAGGACUUCAUUUUGCAGUUGGGAACACAGGAACCCGUGUUCCUGAAGACCAGCACCUGCUAAGACAGAGGCUUCAUGGGAACCCCAACCUUCUCAAGGGCCAAAAGCACCCCCUGAAAAGCUCUUUUCUUCAGAGAGAGGGUCCACAUGGGCCUGACCUCCCCAGAGUAUCCAGCCGAGCAUGCUAUGGGCCUGAGGGGCAUUCUCAAGCAGGAUGAACUCUUUUAUCGCCACCUACUGAUAGAGGACAGAACUGUUACCAAGCUGUAUUAGAUACCAGAAAUGGUCUCAAGCAAAACUCUGCAAAAAUGAAAAUUUUUACUCCUGGUCAAUAUGGUACGGUACCCAGCAAGCUUCAUAGCGUGCCAACAUACACCUCCAGACUGACUUCGUGUUUUCAAGUCAUCCUACAGCUGGCUUCUCCUCUGCACUGCCACAGAAAUACAUACAUGACCACUGUGGGAAACUAAGGAAGGUGGGAUUUGCUUUACAGUUUGCUUGGGAGCCUAUUUCUAGGAAUCAGGCCAAAUCGAGUUUUUCUUUGUAAUGACACCAUUAUGUCUUGCUGACUGGGAGGUGGGUGCAGGCAAAGAUGAAUGACUGACAGCUAAAGAGGCCUCAGGGAUUAGUCCCCGAUUCUCACCAUGGCAUCUCUCUGAUGGGUUAAAUAAAGGCGCCUAUAGAACUCCUUC